rnacentral:rRNA from 1 species
CCCGACUCCAUGAAGCUGGAUUCGCUAGUAAUCGCGCAUCAGCCACGGCGCGGUGAAUACGUUCCCGGGCCUUGUACACACCGCCCGUCAAGCCAUGGAAGCCGGGAGUGCCUGAAGUGCGUGACCGCAAGGAGCGUCCUAAGGCAAUACCGGUGACUGGGGCUAAGUCGUAACAAGGUAUC